UACGUAGGGUGCAAGCGUUGUCCGGAAUUAUUGGGCGUAAAGAGCUCGUAGGCGGUUUGUUGCGUCGGCUGUGAAAACCUGAGGCUCAACCUCAGGCCUGCAGUCGAUACGAGCAGACUAGAGUGUUGCAGGGGAGACUGGAAUUCCUGGUGUAGCGGUGAAAUGCGCAGAUAUCGGGAAGAACACCCGUGGCGAAGGCGGUUCUCUGGGACGGUACUGACGCUGAGACGCGAAAGCGUGGGGAGCGAACAGG
rnacentral:rRNA from 1 species